GAUGAACGCUGGCGGCGUGCCUAAUACAUGCAAGUCGAGCGAACAGACGAGGAGCUUGCUCCUCUGACGUUAGCGGCGGACGGGUGAGUAACACGUGGAUAACCUACCUAUAAGACUGGGAUCACUUCGGGAAACCGGAGCUAAUACCGGAUAAUAUAUUGAACCGCAUGGUUCAAUAGUGAAAGACGGUUUUGCUGUCACUUAUAGAUGGAUCCGCGCCGCAUUAGCUAGUUGGUAAGGUAACGGCUUACCAAGGCAACGAUGCGUAGCCGACCUGAGAGGGUGAUCGGCCACACGGGAACUGGGACACGGUCCAGACUCCUACGGGAGGCAGCAGUAGGGAAUCUUCCGCAAUGGGCGAAAGCCUGACGGAGCAACGCCGCGUGAGUGAUGAAGGUCUUCGGAUCGUAAAACUCUGUUAUUAGGGAAGAACAAAUGUGUAAGUAACUAUGCACGUCUUGACGGUACCUAAUCAGAAAGCCACGGCUAACUACGUG
rnacentral:rRNA from 1 species